rnacentral:sRNA from 1 species
UUCAAUGCGAUAGGGAUAGUAGUGGCAUCCCCUGAACUUGUUUCAGGGAUAUAACGAAUAGCCCGGUAAUCG